CAAUAUUACAGUGAUACUGGCAAUACAAAUGCUGGUAUUUUUCUCAGUAUAAACAAGAGAUUACUAUGCAAUACCAGCACUGGCCAGUAGGGGUCACUGUGUAUGGAGAGAGGCAGGGAUAGGAAGUUCCAGCAUAUCCCUCCCUGCCUAUCUAUACUCACUAAUCUGCAGGGGUGCAGCUACAGAGAGUCCAGACAGAAACUCCCACCCUGCAGAGGCAGC